AUUCAGUGUUGCAUAAAGCUGGUCCUCCCUGCCUAAGCUUAACUAGUAGAGAAACCUCUAGGUUUGGAUGGAAGUGACAUGCUCUCCAGCCUCGGUAGAAGUCUCAUACAUAGAAACAUGCUCUGCCUCCAGGUUCCCAAUCUGACCCACAGUUCCAGAUUUGCCAAGUCUCACUCAUUUGGGUAGCAGACUCUCUCUUAAGUUAAGGCCAUUUAAAAAGUCUCUUCCUCUGGCAAUGAAGGAUUUUUCUGUUUUUUUUUUCCAAUGAGACAUUGAAUAUUUCAUGCCUAAACUUUAGGAAAUAUCCCUUGUUAAGUUGUCACUGCUUGACUGUUGUUUUUUUUUGCAAAAGAUGAAGUAGGUCCCUGUGUCUUCCACCAAAAUAAACAUUGACCACAGAGUUCAGAUUGGAGUUCAGAAAAGUGGAGUGCCUAAUGACCCUGAUUGGAAUUAGGACUCAUUUAACAGAUGGAGAAGCUGAGGUGUGGAGAGAAAAAGCAAUUUACCAGAUGUCAGAGUAACUCAAGGGCAGAGGGUGAAAAUCCUUCCAGGAUCCAGGCUGAUGUUGGAAGCAACACCAUUGCUUGUUGGGCUGAAUUUUCCAAGAAGCAGUUACCGCCAUCCAGUGCACCUUCAGGCAAACACUACAAGGUGGGAUUUACCAAAGGCUUAUGA
rnacentral:lncRNA from 1 species